AGCAUUGUUCAGUUUGGAUGACAAGUUGGAAGGAAAAAUCUUUGAAAUUUACAUUAUAUGGAUAAAUUUUAUGUUAGUCUGUCAUGUUUUUUAAACAGUUCGAAUCUGCCAAUCUCAACUACUGUUCUAUUGAUGACCCACUUUUAAAACCUCAGAAAAAAGUGAUCAUGUGGCUGAAGCAUAAUCAGAUAUUCUUACCUUGAUAUUGUUCCAAAUCUUUGAUAUUAGUAGUGCACUUGCGAUUGAUAUUAUACGCAAGAUAUGGAAUGCUUAAGGAUAUUUGAGGAGUACUAGUUUAUAUGGUUUUGAAUGCUUUGCUUUAUAAUAAUUGA
rnacentral:misc_RNA from 1 species